rnacentral:rRNA from 1 species
AGAGUUUGAUCAUGGCUCAGAUUGAACUGCUGGCGGCAUGCCUUACACAUGCAAGUCGAACGCGAAAGGGGGCAACCCCGAGUAGAGUGGCGAACGGGUGAGCAAUACAUCGGAACGUGUCCUGUAGCGGGGGACAACCUCGAGAAAUCGAGGCUAAUACCGCAUACGAUCUACGGAUGAAAGUGGGGGACCGCAAGGCCCCACACUAUAGGAGCGGCCGAUGCCGGAUUAGCUAGUUGGUGGGGUAACGGCCUACCAAGGCGACGAUCCGUAGCUGGUUUGAGAGAACGACCAGCCACACUGGGACUGAGACACGGCCCAGACUCCUACGGGAGGCAGCAGUGGGGAAUUUUGGACAAUGGGCGAAAGCCUGAUCCAGCCAUGCCGCGUGAGUGAAGAAGGCCUUCGGGUUGUAAAGCUCUUUCGGCGGGGACGAAAUUGCGCGGGGUAACAUCCCGCGUAGAUGACGGUACCCGAAGAAGAAGGACCGGCUAACUACGUGCCAGCAGCCGCGGUAAUACGUAGGGUCCAAGCGUUAAUCGGAAUUACUGGGCGUAAAGCGUGCGUAGGCGGUUUCGAAAGUCCGAUGUGAAAUCCCCGGGCUUAACCUGGGAACUGCGUUGGAAACUACGAGGCUAGAGUGCGGCAGAGGGGGGUGGAAUUCCAGGUAGCAGUGAAAUGCGUAGAGAUCUGGAGGAACACCGAUGGCGAAGGCAGCCCCCUGGGUUAGCACUGACGCUCAUACACGAAAGCGUGGGGAGCAAACAGGAUUAGAUACCCCAGUAGUCC